UAGGUCAGAGGGUUAGCAGUGGGACAGAGAUAAUAUAUAGGUCAGAGGGUUAGCAGAAGGACAUAGAUAAUAUAUAGGUCAGAGGGUUAGCAGAAGGACAUAGAUAAUAUAUAGGUCAGAGGGUUAGCAGAAGGACAGAGAUAAUAUAUAGGUCAGAGGGUUAGCAGUGGGACAGAGAUAAUAUAUAGGUCAGAGGGUUAGCAGUGGGACAGAGAUAAUAUAUAGGUCAGAGGGUUAGCAGUGGGACAGAGAUAAUAUAUAGGUCAGAGGGUUAGCAGUGGGACAGAGAUAAUAUAUAGGUCAGAGGGUUAGCAGUGGGACAGAGAUAAUAUAUAGGUCAGAGGGUUAGCAGUGGGACAGAGAUAAUAUAUAGGUCAGAGGGUUAGCAGUGGGACAGAGAUAAUAUAUAGCUCAGAAGGUUAGCAGUGGGACAGAGAUAAUAUAUAGCUCAGAGGGUUAGCAGUGGGACAGAGAUAAUAUAUAGCUCAGAGGGUUAGCAGUGGGACAGAGAUAAUAUAUAGGUCAGAGGGUUAGCAGUGGGACAGAGAUAAUAUAUAGGUCAGAGGGUUAGCAGUGGGACAGAGAUAAUAUAUAGGUCAGAGGGUUAGCAGUGGGACAGAGAUAAUAUAUAGGUCAGAGGGUUAGCAGUGGGACAGAGAUAAUAUAUAGGUCAGAGGGUUAGCAGUGGGACAGAGAUACUAUAUAGGUCAGAGGGUUAGCAGGGGGACAGAGAUAAUAUAUAGGUCAGAGGGUUAGCAGUGGGACAGAGAUAAUAUAUAGCUCAGAGGGUUAGCAGAAGGACAGAGAUAUGAUACUGACCUGUCAUGGUGUGACUCACUACACCCCUAUAUGCCUCUCUCUCCAUCCCUCUCUCCUCUCCUCCCUCCCCAUGACCUCUUUACCCUCCUCCAUCCCUCU